AGGAACUGUGCCUGAAUGCCCAAGGACCACUUUGAUAGAGUGAAUUAUAGGGGUUAAAACCCCCUCAGUUCCUA
ensembl:Mt_tRNA